rnacentral:misc_RNA from 1 species
UUAAUCUGUAAAUUCUUUGUUGGAGCCUAUGUCCAAAUCCUAUGGUUCUUCUGCUGUGUUCUAAUGUCUUGUGAAAUGCGUGAUAUUGAGUUCAUUGUUUUGUUUGUUGCUGGAUUGAGUAAAUUUAUGACCUCAAAAAUUAUUGCAGCCUGUUAAUAUGAAAUUCCUGUCUUUUCUCCUCUCUCUUUCUGUUUAUUUAUUAUUUAUUUUUGGUUGGAGGGGUGGGCUCAUAUGUCUAUAUAUGCGUGUGUCUGUGAGUGUGUGUGCAUGCAACUAUUCGGCAAGAUGGCUUAGUGACAUAACCAUAUGGCUUCAAAUUUGUUUCAUUGAAUUGGAAGAUUAUUAUUAAGAUGGCCGCUG